UUAAAAUGUCACGUGUCACACAGAAACUAAUCGCUUUCUAAAAGAGAUUUGGAGGAGGGAGAGAUGGCUCCCAGCUGAAGAGGAUCACAAACAGCUGGGAGGUGGCAUUGGCAGCCAGAUCUGAAAGACGGGGCAGUUCUGUCCCUGUGGCAAUGGCAGGAAAGCCUUCCAUGUGCAGAAGAUGUGUGCACAGAAGCCGGGAGGCGGGACAUUCUGGGGUGUGGGUGAAGGUGAGAGCAGGUCACACUCAGGUUGGCAGGAAUACAAGACACCUGAACAAGGAAAUGAGCUGGAUAAGGGCGGCUGGAGUGAAACUGGAAUGGGGCCUGGAGGCAGGGUGCAGGAGUCUCCCAGGGCUCUCAGCGGCUCAUCAGGGCCCCGCCAGUAACACCGGCUCAGGGCAGGUCCCCACAACAGACAACUGAGACCUGGAGAAACCCAGGGACAACCAGGAAUGGGAGUCGGUGAGGGCGGAGCUCUGCUCUGCCACAGAGGGCCUUGGAACCAGAAAUCAAAGAACGCUGUUCCACAGGGCUACUGAGAAGCACAGCGCUUAGCAGCCAGCAAAGGCUCCUUUAGGACCUGUCUGUUCCUGCUUUGUCCUCUUCUGCCAGCUUUUGAUCAGAGCGGGAAGCACACUGGCAGAUUCUUUACCUGCUGAGCCAUCAGGGAAGCCCAGGCCCACAGUGAACAAGGGUUACCUAAAGAUUUCAGAAUCUUGCAGAAGAUUGCAUCAUCACGAAUAUGGAGAAAACAAUGACCAUUUUGGUUAAAGUGAGUCAACUGAAAAUCUUUGCCAAAACACCAAGGAUGGCUUCUUGAAAAACCAAAAGUUUCUUACACUUAGGCUUAGAGAAAGUAAGUUGACACAAAUGACACUUAGGUCCCCCAGCUCAUCUCAUCUUUAUGACUGCUGGUGAAGGUGUUUGUUAGUUGGUUUGUUUUUUUAAGAAAUGAGGAAACAGGCUCAGGAAGUGACUUGGCCACGGAAAGUACUGAACAGGAGAGCGAGAAUUUGCAAUUGGCUCCGUCUGACUCUUCAGUCACUCUCUCACACCUUCUCUGCAGGUGGCCACAUCUGUGGAUGUGCAGACAAUUCUCCAAAAAUGAAGGACCCCAUCCUGUAAUGCUAAACUUUUUACCUCUUAGGUCCUUAGCCCAGAUUCCCCAAAGUAGUGCCACAGGAGGUGGGGAGAGACAGGGAUUGAAAUCUAGGAAGAAAGUAGCUUUUUAUGCCUGAGUAUAUUUUACGGCUAUUUCUGGGACUGACAUUUAAUCGGCCUAAGGCUCUCUGUAACUGCCUACUUGUGGCUGUGUCUUUCCUGGCCCUGGGGAGAAGAGCUCCUUUGUUUCAGAGAAUUCCGUCCCCAAAACGCUCUAUUUCUACCUGAAGCUAUCCCACAAGUUCCAUUCAUGGCCUGGGUCAGUUCCUGUUACAGUGAAAUCCAGGAUUAGGAAACUUUCUAUUCUGGAGGAUGAAAAGAUUUUCACACUCUAGGAUAUGGCCCACUUGUUUUGAAAAAUACAGUGAAGCAUCAUUAAUUUGGACUGUGCUCCUUCACAAUUGCUGAUGAUGCUAAAACUGAAUAGAAUGGAGUUUAAGUCAACAUUAAGAAAAAAAAAAAACAGGAAAAGAAAAAAGAGAAGGAGAAAUGGAGCAAAGAAUGAACUAUACAUGGCCCUCUGCAGAAUGCUACAGGAACAGAUGGGAGUAAGAAGCUACUCCUAUUCUCAAGGAGUUUACUGGAGUUUACAAGUUUCUAAGAUAAUUAUAAUAGAGUCCACAAGCUAGCAUGAGCAAAGAGUCAUAGCUUCCUGGGCUUGGAAAGAAUUU